rnacentral:rRNA from 1 species
UGGGGAAUAUUGGACAAUGGGCGCAAGCCUGAUCCAGCAAUGCCGCGUGUGUGAAGAAGGCCUUCGGGUUGUAAAGCACUUUUAUCAGGAGCGAAACGCUGUCGGCUAAUACCCGGCGGAACUGACGGUACCUGAGGAAUAAGCACCGGCUAACUUCGUGCCAGCAGCCGCGGUAAUACGAAGGGUGCAAGCGUUAAUCGGAAUUACUGGGCGUAAAGCGUGCGUGGGCGGUUUCUUAAGUCUGCUGUGAAAUCCCCGGGCUCAACCUGGGAAUGGCAGUGGAUACUGGGAGGCUAGAGUGUGUCAGAGGGUGGUGGAAUUCCCGGUGUAGCGGUGAAAUGCGUAGAGAUCGGGAGGAACAUCAGUGGCGAAGGCGGCCACCUGGGACAACACUGACGCUGAGGCACGAAAGCGUGGGGAGCAAACAGGAUUAGAUACCCUGGUAGUCCACGCCCUAAAGCGAUGCGAACUGGAUGUUGGUCUCAACUCGGAGAUCAGUGUCGAAGCUAACGCGUUAAGUUCGCCGCCUGGGGAGUACGGUCGCAAGACU